CUGUGCUCUCCCAGGACCUUCUGGAACAGAGCAGGAGGUGAACCUGUUGAGAGGAAGCUCAUGAGUCUCUCCCUGCCACUGUGGUGGUGGCGACCUGCAGCAGCCUUCCCUCCCCCAGGGGGAAGGAGGGACCUUUCUCUCGUCCUAGGGAUGAGACACCUGCCUGGGGCAUGAGGCCCGGCUCCUUCUCCCGCAGCUGCUGCACCAGCUCCAGCAAGAAGGGCACCUCUCGGAAGGCCAGGAAGCCCGACACGUAGGGGGCUGUGAGGCUGACCAUGCGGCUCUCCUCAUACACCACCUGACACCAGGCACGCAGCUCAGUGGGAAGCACAGCCUUCGGCCACCUGCUCCAUCCCCAGUCCGUCCAUGCCCUGCCCCCCUCAUCCUUCCCUCUCCCUUACGUCACCCUCAUGGCUCCCCUUCCCUGCCUCACCUAUGAGAUGAUGGGUUUGGAAGAAGGAACUAGAAGAUGUACCCUGCAAAUUGGUGGUGGGCAGGUACCCCCGGGACCUGGUCCAUAGGAGCAGACCCCCCCAGGACCUGGUCCGUAGCAGCAGCUCCCCCGGGACCUGGUCUGUAGCAACAGCACCCCCACCCCGCCCCCACCGGGACCUGGUCCAUAGCAGCAGCCCCCUGGGACCCGGUCCAUAUGAGAACCCCCACCCCGGACCCGGUCCACUGGAGGAGCCCCAACUCCCAGACCUGAUGUGUAUAGUAGGAGCCCCUGGGACCUGGUCCAUAGGAGGAUUCCCUGGUAUCUGGUCUGUAUGAGGAGCCCCCAGGACCUGGUCCAUAGGAGGAUUCCCCGGGAUCUGGUCUGUAUGAGGAUUCCCCGGGACCCGGUCCAUAGGAAGAUUCCCCGGGAUCUAGUUCAUAGGAUGAGCCCCUGAAGCCUAGACUGUAGAAGGAUUCCCUGGAAUCUAGUCCAUAGGAGGAGCCUCCGGGACCUGGUCCAUAGGAGGAUUCCCUGGGAUCAGGUCCGCGGGAGCCCCCCAGGACCUGGUCUUCAUCAGAAGCAAGGCUAAGGCUGCUGGCUGCAUCACCUCUGCCUGCCCCUUGCUUUCCUGGUGUCUCCUCCUUUGUGUAUUGAAGCCGAUGCCCCACCCCACCCCUCCAUGGGUUGUUGGAGGCUUAAAGAAGACACAGUGUUGGCCAGGCGUGGUGGCUCACGCCUGUAAUCCCAGCACUUUGGGAGGCCGAGGCGGACGAUCACCUGAGGUUGGGAGUUCAAGACCAGCCUGACCAACAUGGAGAAACCCCGUGUUUACUAAAAAUACAAAAUUAUCUGGGCGUGGUGGCGCAUGCCUGUAAUCCCAGCUACUCGGGAGGCUGAGGCAGGAGAACUGCUUGAACCCAGGAGGCAGAGGCUGCAGUUUAGAGCACAACAUGGCAGGCCUGAGUCUCCUAACCUUGUGUUUUCCUUAGUCACACUGCCCUUAAUGUGAAGACGUUUCCCACUAUGUCCACAUUCUGCAGACCUGUCUACCUUCCUGCAGUUUUGUUACUGAAUCCCCCAAAUCUCUUGGUGACAGCUUUCAAAUCACAACUUCCACUCCUCACUUGUGGCUGGAUCAAUAAUUAAACACACCAAAGCAGACGGAGUGCUCUGUAUUAGCACAGAGGGUUGGGGAUCAUUCUCACAACAUCUUCAUCAAUGACUCAAUGGGGAAACUGAUCAAAUCUGCCCAUGACCCAAAGUGGGGAGGGUCCAUUCUGAUAACAGAAUUUGGGUUCACAGAGAAGCCAGCAGGCUGGAUCACUGACAUCCCCACAGAGUAAAAGUCACUUUGCACAGUGACAUGUGGAAUUCAAGUGUGGCCUGAGUUCCCACAGGAGGGGCGUGGCUGCUUACAUCUGAAUCUCUCCCAUAAUGUUAUCAUUCAGGUGACAUUAUGGGAUGACUAUGAUGUGUAAUCAGUAUGAUAAUGACACUGUGGCUGUGGAGGAGAAUGUCAUUCUCAGGACAGGCCUGCUGAUGUCUUCUGAGCUGUCACAGUCGCUGGGAUGUACGGUACACACGCACACAAAGAGCGCAUGUGCGCGAGAGAGAAUAUUCCAGAGCAGCAACAGCUGAACCUAAGUAGAAGGAAUACAGGUGUCCAACGUAUCCUUUUCCAAUUUGGGGGGAUGUAUGUACAUUUUCAAAUUAAAAAUCUGGGAAAAGAAAAAUCACUGUAUGAUUAGCGUAGGGGGCAGGUCUGGAUGACCAGCAAUCUCAACAUAAGCCAGUGACCUGGUGCCCCUCAAAAGCUACCAGUGUUUCCAGCUACACCGACUGAAAUGGCGUGGGUGACAGUUAGGUCUAGGGACUUGGGUAGACCACAUCCAAGUUCCUGCAUUUGAUUCUGAGUGCAGACGGAAAGAUGGAUUGUGUGAACGGAGGGCAUGACCAGAGGGCCACUGACCAGUGAAGAAGCUGGACGUCAUCGCAGCCUCUUGGGACAGUGUGGUCAAGGAGCAGGCAGCUGUUUCCAGCAGCAGAAGGGCUGACAAGCAGAAGGCAGGGAAGAUCCGUUCUGUUUUGCUACCUGAAGGCAGAACUGAUCGAUGGGAGUCACAGACAAGUAGGAGUCAGCUCCCUGCGGAGCAGAACACACUAGCCAUUGCUCAGCGUCCAGCACACAACAGGCUCCACCAGGCCUGUGGAGCAGCACACACCAGCCAUCGCUCAGCAUCUGGCAUGGAAUGGGCUCCGCCAGAGGCCUGCGGAGCAGCACACACCAGCCAUGGCUCAGCAUCUGGCACAGAACGGGCUCCGCCAUCGUUUGUCAGGGAUGCUAAGGACAGUGUUCUUCACGGUGGGAAAAGCAGGCCAGUGGUUCUCCAGCCCAGCUCUGCUUCAGAAUCACAGGAAAGCUUAUUUUAAAAAGCAGAUUCUUAUGCUAUACUCUGGGAGAGUUUUUCCCCCAGUAAGUGGGGUAGGGCUCUGGAAUCUGUUUUUUUUUUUUUUUUUUUGA
rnacentral:lncRNA from 10 species